AACGAGACUAGAGUCACACCCUGACACUUCCUGUGGUCCUGGUGUGCUAUUGUUCUCGAAGAUUGAAUACUACUUUUAUUCGCUGGCUGGAGCUUCCGGUAGCACAGUCAGUCACUAGGUUAGUGACACUA